UGUUAAAGCUAAGACUCGAGGACGACCCUCCCAAAAGCUUGAUAAAUCUACCCGCCGAGAUCCAUCAAGAUUUGAGUAUGUAGUAUCCGCACAGGAUAAUCAUUCUCCAGACAUUAUGUCUUCAAGUACAACUACAAAAAAACCAAAAGGGCAACGAAAAAUGAGUGUUUCUCAAACAAAAGCACCAAAGCAUGCUUCUUAUAUUGAUUCAUUUCCAUUUGGUUUGAGGCCUUAUAUUUGUGGUUUUAGAGAUGUUGUUGCAGAUGGUAAUUGUGGUUUUCGGGGAGUGGCUGACCUAAUAGGUAUUGGUGAAGAUAACUGGGCACAAGUCAGGAAAGACUUAAUUGUUGAGUUGCAAAGUCACUUUAAUGAUUAUAAAAGAGUCUUUGAAUAUGCUGGUAGAGCAGAGGAGGUACUUCAUUCACUUUUAUACUUUGAGAAUAACCCAGGGAGAGAGUAUUGGAUGACCAUGCCUGAAAUUGGUCAUAUUAUUGCUUCUAAAUAUAAUGUGGUAUUACUACAUAUAUCAGAUGUGCUGAAUCUAACAUUCCUUCCACUUAGAUCUAUUCCAUUAUCACGCUCCUCGCAUAAAAUCAUUGCUAUUGGAUUUUUUAAUAGAAAUCAUUUCAUCGAGGUAUGUAAAAGUUUAGAAAUUCAAAUUAUGCUACAAUAUCUUAAUUAUUGGACUAAUUUUUCUAUGGCUUUUUUUUUUUUUACAGGUGUUCAUGCUUCCAGCUUCACUUAUUCCUCCUAUUGCGAAUAGUUGGAUCAAAUAUCAUGAACCAUGUGCAGAAGGCUGGGCAACACCAUACAAAACUAAUAUACUUGCUUUCAAGGAUUUGGUGUUUGAAGUUACCACAUAAGAAACAAUUGAUCUAGCUAGUCAAUGACAGUAUCAGAAAAUUUUGAACCAUUUUAAUAGUCAUUUUAUUCGUUUCAUAUUUUUAAAGAAAGACUUUGUAAAAGCUGGAAUUCUUUAUUUUAUUGUUACUCAAGAUGACAACCUGUCUCUACUCUUUUUGUUGUUAUUAUUUUUUUUUUAACAUUUUCGAGUUUACUCCAACUGCAAACUAAUUUAUGAAUUAUGAUCUACAUACUAUAAAUUUAAGUAAUGCUACAAUUGACUGUAAAUAUUAAAAUAUCAACAGAAAAAUGAAAAAUAACUUAAAAGAGACAAAAUAAAUAGUACAUGAAAUUAAAAUUCAGCAUUUUAAAAAUUAAGAAAGUUACCUUUUUAUCUUAUUUUCUGGUGAGGAAUUAUCGACAUAUGCCACUCAUCAUCAACAAGAUUCAGGAAGAAAUCAAGACCCAUGAGAGAAAUUAAGAAAGAAGAAAGUAAUUAUGAAGCAAAGGACGAGCUGAACGAUCAUCAGAAUUAUUUUCCCACCGACAUGUUUUCCAGUGCCCCAGUUGUCUUUCUCCACAAAGGUUCGCAGUCUUUCGAAGAAUUCGUGAUUCUGCAUUUUCAGAAGCUUGUGCUCA
rnacentral:lncRNA from 1 species